CCUACGGGAGGCAGCAGUGGGGAAUAUUGCACAAUGGGCGCAAGCCUGAUGCAGCCAUGCCGCGUGUGUGAAGAAGGCCUUCGGGUUGUAAAGCACUUUCAGCGGGGAGGAAGGCGUUAAGGUUAAUAACCUUGGCGAUUGACGUUACCCGCAGAAGAAGCACCGGCUAACUCCGUGCCAGCAGCCGCGGUAAUACGGAGGGUGCAAGCGUUAAUCGGAAUUACUGGGCGUAAAGCGCACGCAGGCGGUCUGUCAAGUCGGAUGUGAAAUCCCCGGGCUCAACCUGGGAACUGCAUUCGAAACUGGCAGGCUAGAGUCUUGUAGAGGGGGGUAGAAUUCCAGGUGUAGCGGUGAAAUGCGUAGAGAUCUGGAGGAAUACCGGUGGCGAAGGCGGCCCCCUGGACAAGGACUGACGCUCAGGUGCGAAAGCGUGGGGAGCAAACAGGAUUAGAUACCCGGGUAGUC
rnacentral:rRNA from 1 species